rnacentral:lncRNA from 1 species
AGACAAGAGCAGCAGUCAGCCAGGAUGGAGAGCAUCUAUAAACCGAAGACUCAGAAGGCAUCUAGGAAACGACAGUGCAGCCUUUCCCCUUGUUCCUGCUCUACAACUAUCUGACUUUGUUGCAUGGAAACUUCUAUGAAUAUACCUGAAAACCAUGCCUUUGCAUCUAUUCGGUGUGAAACUGUCCCCAAAAGAAGAACUGCUUCUAAACCUCAAGGCUCCGGGGACUGGAAAGAUGGCUCGGUGGGGCAGAGCACGAGCUCUGCAAGUCUGAGGAGCUGAGUGUCAAUCUCCAGCACCAGGUAAAAGUCAGGCUGUGCAAGCUGCUGCCCAGCAUGAGGGACGGGAUGGAGACCCUGAGGGAUCCCUGGCUACAAAGCCGAGCCAAAGAUGUUGAGUGAGACGCCCUGUCUAAAGGCAACACAACAGUGAACAGUGCUGGGGCACCCCUGUCCUGCUUUAGCCUCCACAUGCACAGCUGCACAUUCACUCCUGUGUACCCCACACCCACAAACUCUUUUGUACAACCUCAUGAUCUUAUCUUACUUUUCUGUAAUAAAUGAUAAAAAC